ensembl:lncRNA
GAAAAUGUACUUGUGUCAUGCACAAAGUAGAUAUCCUAACUGACUUGCCAAAACUACAAUUUGUUAACAAGAAAUUUGUGGAGUGGUUGAAAAACAAGUUUUAAUGACUCCAACCUAAGUGUAUGUAAACUUCUGACUUCAACUGUAUAUUAUAAUUUUUUGAAUUUUAGGGGGUUAACUUAGGGUUAGGAUUCAGGAGAUAGAGGUUAGUUACAGAGUGAGACUGAGGGCUGAGGUAUAAGGGGUUAGCUUAAGGUUAGUAUUCAGGAGAUAGAGGUUAGUUACAGAGUGAGACUGAGGGCUGAGGUAUAAGGGGUUAGCUUAAGGUUAGGGUUCAGGAGAUAGAGGUUAGUUACAUUGUGAGACCGAGGGCUGAGGUUUAGGGGGUUAGCUUAAGGUUAGGAUUCAGGAGAUAGAGGUUAGUUACAGAGUGAGACUGAGGGCUGAGGUUUAGGGGGUUAGCUUAAGGUUAGGAUUCAGGAGAUAGAGGUUAGUUACAGAGUGAGACUGAGGGCUGAGGUUUAGGGGGUUAGCUUAAGGUUAGGAUUCAGGAGAUAGAGGUUAGUUAC